rnacentral:rRNA from 1 species
CCUACGGGUGGCAGCAGUGAGGAAUAUUGGUCAAUGGACGAGAGUCUGAACCAGCGAAGUAGCGUGAAGGAUGACUGCCCUAUGGGUUGUAAACUUCUUUUAUAUGGGAAUAAAAUGUUCCACGUGUGGGAUUUUGUAUGUACCAUAUGAAUAAGGAUCGGCUAACUCCGUGCCAGCAGCCGCGGUAAUACGGAGGAUCCGAGCGUUAUCCGGAUUUAUUGGGUUUAAAGGGAGCGUAGGUGGAUUGUUAAGUCAGUUGUGAAAGUUUGCGGCUCAACCGUAAAAUUGCAGUUGAAACUGGCAGUCUUGAGUACAGUAGAGGUGGGCGGAAUUCGUGGUGUAGCGGUGAAAUGCUUAGAUAGCACGAAGAACUCCGAUUGCGAAGGCAGUUCACUGGACUGCAACUGACACUGAGGCUCGAAAGUGUGGGUAUCAAACAGGAUUAGAUACCCGAGUAGUC